rnacentral:rRNA from 1 species
ACGGGUGAGUAAUACAUCGGAACGUGCCCAGGCGUGGGGGAUAGCCCGGCGAAAGCCGGAUUAAUACCGCAUGAGAUCUGAGGAUGAAAGCAGGGGACCUUCGGGCCUUGCGCGUUUGGAGCGGCCGAUGGCAGAUUAGGUAGUUGGUGAGGUAAAGGCUUACCAAGCCUGCGAUCUGUAGCUGGUCUGAGAGGAUGAUCAGCCACACUGGGACUGAGACACGGCCCAGACUCCUACGGGAGGCAGCAGUGGGGAAUAUUGGACAAUGGGGGCAACCCUGAUCCAGCAAUUCUGUGUGCACGAAGAAGGUUUUCGGAUUGUAAAGUGCUUUCAGCAGGGAAGAAGGAAGUGACGGUACCUGCAGAAGAAGCGACGGCUAAAUACGUGCCAGCAGCCGCGGUAAUACGUAUGUCGCGAGCGUUAUCCGGAAUUAUUGGGCAUAAAGGGCAUCUAGGCGGCCUAACAAGUCAGGGGUGAAAACCUGCGGCUCAACCGCAGGCCUGCCUUUGAAACUGUAAGGCUGGAGUACCGGAGAGGUGGACGGAACUGCACGAGUAGAGGUGAAAUUCGUAGAUAUGUGCAGGAAUGCCGAUGAUGAAGAUAGUCCACUGGACGGAAACUGACGCUGAAGUGCGAAAGCCGGGGGAGCGAACAGGAUUAGAUACCCUGGUAGUCCC